rnacentral:piRNA from 1 species
UGAGAUCUUCAAAUGCUUUCA